rnacentral:rRNA from 1 species
UACGAAGGGGGCUAGCGUUGCUCGGAAUCACUGGGCGUAAAGGGUGCGUAGGCGGGUCUUUAAGUCAGGGGUGAAAUCCUGGAGCUCAACUCCAGAACUGCCUUUGAUACUGAGGAUCUUGAGUUCGGGAGAGGUGGGUGGAACUGCGAGUGUAGAGGUGAAAUUCGUAGAUAUUCGCAAGAACACCAGUGGCGAAGGCGGCUCACUGGCCCGAUACUGACGCUGAGGCACGAAAGCGUGGGGAGCAAACAGG